UGGGGAGUAGCCAAGCGGUAAGGCACAUGGUUUUGGUCCAUGCAUGCGGGGGUUCGAAUCCCUCCUCCCCAACUA
rnacentral:tRNA from 1 species